CUUCCCUGCUCACACACGCUUACCAUGCAGCCAUGGGGGUGGAGAGAUGCUAUGUAGUUAAACCCAAGGCAGCCUGUGGAUACAACACUUCCAGCGUGACACUCGCAGAGAACGGCAAAAGCUCAGCCUCAAAUACACACACACACACACACACACAUAGAACAGCAGAUCUCAACAGGAUACUGCAGUCAGUCACAGGCACAUGAGCACUGGAGGAAAUGGAGUGAGAAGAAAAAGGAAGAGACAAAUCACACACAUGCCAUGUGUGCAGAGAAGCAGAUUGUCCGCUAUCAGCGGUGAUGGUGCGCGGAGGAAGAAUGCGAGCAUACAGCGAAGUCAAACAAAAGUUCCUCAGAUGACAAUUCCUGAAACAGAAUAGGAUGGACUUGCUAAAACCGAAUCCCGCACUCAUCCUGCAUCGCAGUACAGAGACGUUAAUGGAGCUCUGACUCUCUUUCGGUGUAUUUGCGGCUCUUGAAGAGGCUGAACGAAGGGGGAAGUCAAGGACCCCGCACAUGCAGGCAGCGCUCAGCCAUGAGGAAAUACUCUUUUCACCCAGACAGAGGUUAUCCAGACAGGCUCAAUCUAUUCAGAUCACAUGAUGCUUCAUUUCAAUAUAGGGAUUCGUCACAUAGAAAAACUAAUGAAGAACUGAAGAAAGCCUGAAGCCCCCCAGAGAACUCGGUUCAUUAAGUCUUCACACAAUCUGAGUACAAUAUUGACAGAAAUACCUUGCAGGAAUGCUGUAGCACAUCUCUCACAGUCCUCGCUUUGUGUUACGUGUC
ensembl:lncRNA